GACGAACCGUGCGAACGUUGUUCGGAAUCACUGGGCUUAAAGGGCGCGUAGGCGGGUGAUCAAGUCUGGGGUGAAAUCUUUCGGCUUAACCGGAAAACUGCCCUGGAUACUGGUCGUCUUGAGGGAGGUAGGGGCAUGUGGAACUUCUGGUGGAGCGGUGAAAUGCGUUGAUAUCAGAAGGAACGCCGGUGGCGAAAGCGACGUGCUGGACCUCUUCUGACGCUGAGGCGCGAAAGCUAGGGGAGCGAACGGGAUUAGAUACCCCGGUAGU
rnacentral:rRNA from 1 species